UUAUAUAUUACAUUCUUACAUUCUUGAAGGAAGGAAUUAAUUGUAAAAAAUAUAUAAUUCUUGCGUUAUCAAUAUUACAGAGUUUUACUCUUUGUGGUGUUAUGUUGUAGUUUUCAUUCUCAACCACUUUAUAACUUUCCCCUUUCUCCUACCCUUUUCUCCAUAGUACAGUAUGCUUCUAAGGAAAACUCUCAAGUAUGAGAAAAGUUGUCGGCUAUAUUUCAUGGCCGGCGAAGGAAGAGAAAGGAAUGGGGAAAGAUCCGGUGUCAUCUUCGCUGCUCGUUAAUACUUUCCGUGAUUUAUCGAGAUUCCCCGAGUGAGUAAUGACCGACUUCUACUAAAUUUUUAAUAUUAAAUUCUCUAUUCAACCACGAUAUAUAUAUAUAUUAUUUUUCUUAACAUAUAUUUCUCGUUUUAUUUUUAAAGUUACAGCUACAAAAGCGUGACCAAUUGAAGGAAUAUCAUUGAAAAUUGGAUGAUCUACGGUUAAAAGAAGACAUUAAUCGAAUUUCUCCUAGUUGAUCUCCUUUCGGUCUAAUCGAAAUUUAUUCGAAACAAGCGAGCUCUAAGCGAUCGUUUAACAACGUUUGACGAUCUAUAAGUGCAAGGCGCAGUGAUCGUGAUUGCGGGGAAGAGUUGGUUCCACGCAAAAGGUGGAACACUCGAGGUCGAAGUGGGAUGCGGGAAGCGAGGCAUGCAUAUUCAAAACGCGGGAGGCGCAGACGUAGUCAUAGGAAUAAUAAAAAUUCGAGGGUUGAAAUUAUUUAGAUUUAUGCCCGCUCUCUUGUCCCGGUGCCGGGCGGUGACGAGAGAAGCGAUUCGAUUCCGGGGAACAAAUUUCAUGCAUUAUUCAGGACUCGCCGCAAUGCACCCCAGUCAAUGGAACCGAUCCUUUGGAAAAAGUCGUUUUUAAUCUCUCGUCGCGUUCCAAUAAUGCACAUGCACCGCCCGCUCACCUCUCCCUCCUCCACGUUCGCUGCCCCCGUUCCGCUUUCACCCCCGAGUGAAAGCCGUGUUUUCUGCCUUUAAACCGAACGACAGUUCGAACUCGAACAAUAAAUCGGGGGGAGGGGAGGGGGACCUAUCGGUAUCUAUCCCCCGUGAAUGUGCGCCACGUACUCUCAGUUUAGAGUUCCGCAAUUUAUUUUCCACCUCGGUGUUCAUAAUCGUUGGAUCGUUUCAGGGGGACUAACCAACGGAAUGCAAAAGCUGCUGACGGAGCAGCUAGAGAUUUUCCGCUUAAUAUUCACCCUUUCUCUCUCUUCCUUUCGCUCUUCCUCUCCUUCGCUCCUCUUUCUACACGUAUGUUAAUGCUGGAGUCGCGAGCGUUCCGUUCGCGAAACGUUCCCUUCCCCACGGCUUAUCUCUUGUUAUUGAAGAGAUUGUUAUUCUUAAGUUGCUUAAGAGAAUGUAAACGAUACAAGAUGCAUCUGUGAGAAAGGAGAGAAGAAAAAUCGUACAAAUUUUUAUUAGUUAGAAAUCUAUUUAUGCAAGUUCAGAUAAAUUCUGAAAUUGUCCAAUUUAAUGUUAAAAUUUCGUUACUUCUCGUGUUCGUUUCUAAUUCGAAAUUGUUAAAAAGCGAUCGAUCAUAGAGAAUAAAAAUGGAUGUAAUUGGACACCUCGGAGUAAAUCGGUGAAAAAUGAUAAAUAACACAUUCACGAAUAAUAUACAAAUGUAUUAAACUCCGUAUUCAAUUUUCAAUCAUCGUAAUAAAACAAUUUUCAUCAAUUUUCCCAAAAUGCUUCUAUUUUUCGCUUGUUCUUUCGUUCAUAGCCAGAUCAAUAGGAAAUUAUUGCUUGUUUCUUUACUCUUGAUUAAUCAUUCCACAGAGAAUGGCUUGUAAUCGCCUUACUGGAUGGAUUAAUGGAUCUGCCAGUUGUCACGGAGGUAGUUUCAUUAUUUUUAUUUUUAUCUUCACCUUCUUUCUCCGUACACGGAAUACAAUUCUUAUUCUUGCGAUUGUUUCAGUGAUCUUCCUGUGAAUGGGCGGGUUUAACAACGAGAAUGAAAAUCGAUACAUCGAUUUAACUUAGCCUGCUCUUCGCGAUUCUUCGCGAAAUCUCAGCUUUCCUGGAGACUCCAGGAUCGAAUUGAUGAUAAGAUACAUUCCCCAUUAAAAAGUUUUCUAGCAAAAAUGAAAAGAAAAAAAAAAGGAACGAUUGAGGAAGUAAUUGCGAGACAAAAUUGAACGUGAGAAAAAAUUGGAUGAAUUUUUCGCUAAAAAGAAAUUACAAUAAUUUCAUUUCUCUUUCAUUUUUUAAUAAUAAUAAUAAUGAUGACAAUAACAACUGUCAAAUCGAGAAUCGAUAACAAUGGCGGAUUAAAGGUAGACGAAUCUGGGUGAAUAUCGAUUAAUCCUAUUAACCGGAAAAUUUUCCAAAUAUCAACGUACGUUUCCAUUUCCACAGUAAUACCAUAAAUGUCGUAUUAACGUUCGAAUUAGGUGUACACGGUUUCAGGAGCGGAAAAGCCUCGUCCAUCGAAGCGAACAAAGAGGAGCUACACCGAUCACGCGCUACAAAUUAGUCGAAGCACCUGUUAAGAGACUCGGAUCGAAUGAUGUCAUUGUGUGUGAUUCCAGAGCCGCAAAAUAGCGAAAAUUGAUAGGAGCAACAAGGGUGAAGCGAUCUUCACGAUGCCACGUUUGAAUCACGGUUUAAAUUUAGCAUGUGAAAUAAUUUCAAGGAAGAAUAUCAUUUAUAUCGAUUAAUAUAUCAAUUGUUCGUUUUCUUCAUAAAGGGAGAAGUAGAGUAAACCUGAUUUUAAAUUUAUUACGUAACCUUCUAAGAUAUAAUAUAAAUUUGAUUCUCUAAUAAACAUAUUAGAUAUAUAAAAUUUCAUCGAUACUGUACAAAAUUAACAAUCUUCUUGAACAUCAAUUGCACGAGAUUUCCUUCGAAAUCUUUCAAAUUCGUUAUUAAAAGAAAACAAGACUUAAUUUUAGAGAUAAAUAAGAGAUAAAUAAAAUUUCUACAGGAAGGCGCGUCUAAUCGCGCUUGAACAUCGCCCAUCCAACUUUUCCAUUCAACUUUUCCUUUGCAAAUGAGACGGCGGAUCGAUAUCCCCCGUCACAGAUUUGCCCUCGUCCCUAAAAGCCACGUAUCUCUUGUCAUUCCGCGCACACACUCGGGUGUUCCCCUAAUUGUCCUCUGUCAACGGCCGCGUCAAAGAGAGGCCUGUCGAGGAGAGGCGAAACUAGCGUCUCGAUCGAGGAGAGGAGACUCGGGUAGAAGUUUAUUAGUCAAAUAACCCGAAUAAGAGGCCGAUGAGAGGGUGUGACCAUAUCGGGGGCUGAAUAUGACGGAUCGUGCGUGUGUGUGUGAGCGUCUCCUCGAGGGUACUCCCGAUUAUAACGAGUGGUAGUGGCGCAGUCAGAGAAGUGAAGAAGCACUACCACAAAGCAUGCACCGUCCCUUACCUUCUGUUUCAUUCAUUUCCGAAAAAUCGAGUUCGACAAUAUUUCUUCAUUCGUUAAAGGAAUCAAUCGAAAGUCUUCGAGCUACAUUUUUUCAAACGUGGCUUUUUUCUCUUAGCAAUGAAAGUAGGGGUAUUUCGAUGGAAAGAACACGUCCACGAUUGAUUGUGUCGCAUUACUUUUAUUACGUUCAAUAUACAGGAGUCGAAUGAUUUCUAUUAAUACAUAUAGAUACAAUAGAACGCUACUAUAUAAUAUGUACAUCGCAUAUCACAUACAGUCGAAUUUGGAAACGUGGAGGCGUAUCCACGAAACAGAUCUCUACGAUCUUUUCUCUCCUCGCUAAGAAAAUGACCCUCUCUCGAGCCUUGGAAGAAAUAACAGACACGGAUUGCACGAAGUGAAGAACCUCGAUAAGUGAUAAGGAUAUCGAAAAGAAAGACGCUAUGUGUUACACGUUCGAUCACAUCGAUCGAUGUACACUGUCAGGAUAGCACCAGAUGAAAGUUCGAGGCUGCUAGUUUUUUUUAAUUAUCUCUAAAUGUGCAAAGUUGUUUCUAAAUAUUCAAAUAUUCGAAUAAAAAGGAAAUUAAGGUAAAAGAAUAUCUCGGAAAAUUCGUUACUCGAUUCAUCAAUUAUAAUAAAUUAGAAAUGUCUCUAAAAAAAAAAUUCGUUCGUGAUAUUAAGAAAUUAAGAGAUUCACAAGAGGAUACGAAAUAUAUUGUUUAUCGUUAAGUAUAACGCGAUAUACAGCAAUUGGCAAAUCUAAUAUUGACGAUCCGUUUUUGAUUUCUUCUGCAACGAUCGAAACAAGUUUCCGCGUCUUUUCUUUUUUUUUUCUUUUUAAGUCUCUCUCUCUAUACGAAGUGGUCGAAGUGAAAAU